AUGCCCCAGGGGCAGCCCUACCUCUCCCAUAACUCCGUUUUCUCCUCAGAUCGGUUCUGGCAGCGCUGCUGGCACUGCUCCACCAUCGUCUCCAUCAUGCCGUCGUGCUGGUUGAGAUCCCAUCUACUUCUCCUUACUCUCUUGGUAGAUCAAGAAGGAGGAGACGUCAUCGAGCCGUACGUGUGCUGAACGCGGAGGUGCCGUCCGUUUGGCACUAGAUCGGGAUGGAUCGUGAUGGAUCGCGGGACGGAUCGUGAUGAGAUCGCGGGACGAGCUACGAUUUGGAUCGCGAAGAUGUUCCACUACAUCAACCGCGUUAUAUACGCUACCGCUUAGCGAUCU
rnacentral:lncRNA from 1 species